GCAAGCAGUACCAAGCUUUACAAUGUUAAAGCUCCUAUCAAACAUUAAGGAAGGCCCUAGACAAGGAGCUGAUAAAGGAAUGUUCUUCCCUCGAUUGGACCCAAUAGCCUCUCAUGCCUUAGGUAAGAGGCAGUCCUGAGCUUUACGUUUAUCAAUCUGGUUUCAUCCCAUCUUCUAAUCUUCCAGAGUUUUUAAUGUAAAAAAUUUAAAUAAAAUGUCUACUGUA